AAGGGGGGAGGGGGAGAGAGGAAGAGAGAGAGAGAGGUAAAGGGAAUCUGAGAAUCUGAUUGACACGUGACCCUGUCCAGUUCGUUUCCUUGGUCACAAAGCUGGUUUGGGGGACCUUUGGAGAGAAUCAGACAUUUGGAAAAGCCACCCUACAUUGGACUGAAGAAGAGAUGAUCAAAGCCUAAAAGACCACCAAACGCCAAAGACCUUAAAAGGAGGGCAACAAAGACCGCAAAGAGUGAGGUAAUGUGCUCAAUUUCACAGAGUCACUUGGUGAAUCAGCUGAACUGAGAUCUGCCUUCCAGUGUUUGCCUACACAUGUGGAGGCAUGGGAGUCAUUUUGGUCAUGGACAAGGACAGGGAAUUCUGAGCUGCCAGUGAGUUUUACGUGUAACUAUUCUUUCCUAUUUCUUUUCAUCACUUACUUUCAUUUCAUAUUAUUACUGAAAAAACAAAACAACAAAAACAACAACAAAAAUAAUACAGGGUUAUGGGAGAUGUGUGUGAUCAGUAUAGGGACAUAUUAAAAAUACCUGGUGAGCUGAACCACUUUCCAAAUGUUUUGCAGCUGACCGCCUGCAAAAGCAAUCCACUCAACUUCUAAAUUUUCUAUGACUGUCACUCUCAGCAAGGGGAAGACUACAGGAUGAAUUUUCGGCCUACUAAAGUGUGCUGGAGGAAAGGCAGAAGGAGCUAACAGGCGUAUCUCUGGUUCCAAAUUUAUAGUAAUUAGGAUCAGAAUUUGAAAAUAGCAGUCAGUUUCGAGUUACCUUAAAGCAAACUGACAAACAGACUGCCUCUGGCUUUCACACCACAUCCACAAGACUUGCUUUGCAUUUGGAGUUUGAGCCUGACUGUGUAACACAAUGCUAAGAUUGCUUGAUUUGAGUUUGAAUCUGGGCUUUAUCAUUCACCAGUUAAGUGAUCGAGACAGCAGAAUUAAUCUUUCCACAUAUCCAUCUGCACAUGUGUAAAAUGACAAGAAGUUGCUUUUUCCUGUUUUCUUUGGGUUAUUAAGAGAUUUACUACCUUUAUUUGGAUUUGCCCCAAAGUUGAUUCCAAGACAGGAUACAAGUACAUUUGACAAAUGACCCCAGGAAACAGCAAGGUCAUGUCAAAGUGAGGCAGGGAAGUUCCAUUAACAAUAACAAUUCCAGCCCCUCUCCCCUUCCUCCUCGAGCAGUGCAUUGUGAUCCACCAGCAACGAGGGAUGCCAAUAAGGCAUCCGAUAAGAUAAGUCUUAUAAAAUAUGUAGAUUUAUGAUAAUUAAGACUGA